UACGUAGGGUGCAAGCGUUUGUCCGGAAUUAUUGGGCGUAAAGAGCUCGUAGGCGGUUUGUUGCGUCGGCUGUGAAAUCCCGAGGCUCAACCUCGGGUCUGCAGUCGAUACGAGCAAACUAGAGUGUUGCAGGGGGAGACUGGAAUUCCUGGUGUAGCGGUGAAAUGCGCAGAUAUCAGGAGGAACACCGGUGGCGAAGGCGGGUCUCUGGGCAACAACUGACGCUGAGGAGCGAAAGCGUGGGGGAGCGAGCAGG
rnacentral:rRNA from 1 species